ensembl:lincRNA 4930432H08Rik RIKEN cDNA 4930432H08 gene
GAUGAAGGGAGGAGCUAGGCUAAGGAGAAUGGGUUUCUAACACUUGAAUAGAGGAGCUUUUCUGCCCUGACGAAUGGGUUAGGGGUCCCCGGAGGCGUCUGCUCCUUGACUUUCAGCCAUCUUCCCACUCCUCAUCUGUCUCAGGAACCUGUUUUCGGUUCUCUGUCCUGGAAGACUGCUCAUGCUCACUAAUGUAACAUUGCCACCAUGAAGCCUCAGUAUCAUCAGCAGGCGUGUCCAUGGCCCAGGAGGCAAACCCAGACCUUCACCAACACUCCAGCAGGUGUCCGCUUAUGCAGUCGUGUCUAGGGCUGUCCGCAGGGGUGUCAUUGAAGUCCUUCAAUAUGAGGCUGAAAACAACUGUAACGAUAACAAAUCUAACAAAUGACACCCAACAUUCCAAUGGCGCUUUGGGCAGCAGUACCAGUGAGGUUGGAGACUUGAGAACUGAUUGGAAAUCGUUCCCCUCUGACGAGGAUCACAUUAAGCGUUAUAGAUGGUAAGCAGCAGCAGGAUAGGAACAUUUGACUUUUGGAAUGUACAUUUUGCAUCAACCUCGCCUGUGACAGCGGCCACCUCAGAUAAAAGGCUUUACUGUAUCAUUAAAAUAGUGCCAUCUAGUGGUGGAUAUUUCAAACUGUAGCUAGGUGUCCUAAGGGUUGUCACAAACCCUCAAGGGGUCUGUGCCCAUGUAUAUGUGAUAUGUAUGUGUAUAUAUAAUUAUAAUUUAUAAUCUAUAAAGGUAUAUUUACUUAUGUAUCUAUUCCAUCACCAAAUUUAUUUGCCAAUUAUUCCAGAAUGGGCCUCUUGAUGGGGGUUGUAUUCAAGGAGUAAGGAAGGCUGCUCUGAUCUCCAGGGGGUUAUAGUCUAGAUCUUUGUAAUCCAGAGUUAAUGGCUCUGACACAAGAACGUGGGGGCAUCCAGGAGACUCCAGUGUCCAAAGCUUUAGUGGCAUUGUUGGAAGUCCUACCUACAUAUAAAGACGCAUCAUGCUUGGAAGCAUGGAAGUCAGGAAGAGGCCACCGAGAUGUGCCAUCUACUUGAGCUAGCACAGGAUUCCUGAACUUCUAAGGUCUCCUUUGGGGUUUCUGAAUGUCUCUGGCCCUGGGUCUAAGUCAGGAACCAGCAUGAGCUUGAGGUUCACUCUAGAGUUCUCUUUCUUUAGUGGAGUUGCCCGCUGGCCCUUCUAGGAUGCAGCUAGCCGAACAUGAUGGUGCGUUGAAAGCCUUGAAUGUUUCUCAGAAAAACAAUACAUUUUAUGUUCCUU